AUAAUGAGACAUUUCAUGUCGGUUUUGUUUAAUUUUAUAAGAAGAGACAUUAUUGAGCGAGUUUUCUUUUUGGGUUCCUGCAUGAACAAUGGCAAAUUGUGGGAACUUUACAUAUCGCUUCUCUCAGACUCUGAGCACUUCUAUAAAGCUACACUUUCUGACCAAGACACUAGUCUGACUCUUUGGUUCGGCCAUUUCCAACCAGCACCAGUUGCUGGACCACUUGCUUCUCCAUCUUAAUGAAGCCACAAAUGAACACAUUCUCCUCAAAGCUUCCUCUCAAAUUUUUGCAAAAUAUUUGAAAACCAUUUUCUUGUUUUCCUAUUAAAAUUUGUAAUAUAUAGUAAACUUUUAACAGUAAUAAAGAAAAAAGAUUAGUAAGUUCUCUUUUUUAAUUCAUAUA